UACAGGCCAAGUUAUUAAGAGCUAUUGGUGGAUGCCUUGGCAUUGACAGGCGAUGAAGGAUGCGUUUACCUGCAGUAAUCCUCGGCGAGUUGGUAUAAACUAUGACCCGGGGGUAUCCGAAUGGGGAAACCCGAUAGAGAUAAUAUUCUAUCAUUAUACGCUGAACACAUAGGCGUAUAAGGCGACACCUGCUGAACUGAAACAUCUUAGUAAGCAGAGGAAAAGAAAUCAAAGAGAUUCCCUGUGUAGCGGCGAGCGAAAGGGGAAAAGCCUAAACCGUAUUUAAUACGGGGUUGUAGGGUCGAUAAUAUGGGAUCUUAAGUCUUAGCUGAAUAUUUCUGGAAAGUUAAGCGAUACAGGGUGAUAGCCCCGUAAGCGAAAAGACAAAAGACUCUAAUCGAUACCUGAGUAGAACCAGACACGUGAAACCUGGUUUGAAUCUGGGGAGACCACUCUCCAAGGCUAAAUACUAGUCGAUGACCUAUAGCGAACCAGUACUGUGAAGGAAAGGUGAAAAGAACCCUUGUUAAGGGAGUGAAAUAGAAUCUGAAACCAGUAGCUUAUAAGCGGUCGAAGGCCUAUAA
rnacentral:rRNA from 1 species